rnacentral:lncRNA from 1 species
UUUAUAAAUGAGCCAUCAAGCUGGCUCAUUAAAUUAUCGAGCCAAAAAAUUCAGCUCGUAUUCGGUUCAUUUAUUUAAUAAGCCGAUCACAAGCUGGCUCACAAAUAAGUGAAAAAAUUAAAAAGAAUAUAUAUAAAAAAUAAAUUUAUAAAAUUUUAUUUAUUAAACUUUGAUUUAAUUCUUGCAAAUUUACAUACAUAAAUAAAUUUUUUUAUAGUUGAGUUAGGCUUUACAUUUAAGUUGGACUAAAAAUCAAAUAAUAUAAAUCUGUAUUAUAUAUAUAAUUAUUUAUUUUUACAUAUAAAUAUAAAUUAUGUAAAUUAUAUAAAUAUAAAAUAUAUAUAUUCGAGUUGUUAUCGAGUCGAAUACGAGCGAGCUGACCCUAAAUUAUGGUGUAAUAUAAAUAGUAAAAGUUUUGUAUAAAUGGUAUAAUUUAAGUAUAAAUUUUUCUAUCUAUUGAAGAAGCUUUAAUGUGCGACCAAAGAUUUAGUCAAGUUUUCUAUUAAUUUGACUUAAUAAUUGUAAGAUAGCAAAAUAUAUUAUCAAACAACCUUACCAAUGGUUUGGAAUGCAAACUGGGCGGAUCCGGUGACGGGAGGGUUCUUCCAUAUCUUGUUCUAUUUUUUGUCGGGGUGGGACGGAUUCGGGACGGGUUAUUUUUUAUUUUAUUUUGGGUUCUCACUUAUUGUCUCAUUCAGGGCAGAUCAGGAUAGGAGCCGAUUUUUGACGGAUUUUUGAUAGAUCAGGACGGAUUGAAGAAAGAAAAGGAUCUCAUGCCUCCUGCUCUAUUUACUUGGCAGAUCAGAAUGAGUUAUAUUUUUCUAUUUUUUUUUGUUCCUACGUACCGCUCCAUUCGGAACGGAUCGGGACAGGAGGUCUACCAACCUGG